GAGGACUAUAAGAGGUAGCAAGCCGGUACUUCGACGCCUGAGUGUUUUGCCUCUUCGUGGUUACCCAAGCCUCGUUCGUUAAGAGAUCUCAGGAGGACUUUCUAACAGUUUAAGGACUCUGGAUUGUCGCUUUUUUCCCGCUGGCAGCUGGAUCAGACGUUUGCUUCACAACUUCAGGCGAACCCUGUCCACCCUCCUCCGUACCUCUCAGAACUACCUUGCUCCGAUGUGCAGUGUUGCUCGCUGCCCCUCCAGUAUCACAACCUCUCUCCCUGGCGGACCUAACUCAACCUGACUCGCUCAGCAGCCUCUGUUUCCAGUACCUGGUUCCGCAAAUAAAGCUUCUGAAACACUUCUCUGUUUAAUCAUGUUUUUCUGCAUGUGGGUCAAGUCGGCCAUCAACAAUAUGACAGUUUUUACUGGUUUUAUAUCUUCUACCCAUUGUAAAGCUAAUAAUAUUGCCAACAUUUCUCUCUUAUUGUAAUGGGAUUGUUAAGUUUUUAUCAAUGCACCACUCACAAGUACCAGCUAAACCAUUUGAAACCAUUGUUAAAUCAAUAACUGAUUCCAUCCCUGUUCUCACAUUGAUUCUUGUUCCCCUCCCAUCAUUAAUACAUACUAGAUUUUUUAUUUCCAUUAAUUCUUCUAUAACUUGUCCAUUUUUAUCAUUACAGUUACCCCACAAUGUACUAUUUGCAUUAAAAGGCCCACACCAAAUUACUUUCCCUUCCAAAUAUUCA